rnacentral:rRNA from 1 species
UACGGAAGGCAGCAGUGGGGAAUAUUGCACAAUGGGCGCAAGCCUGAUGCAGCCAUGCCGCGUGUAUGAAGAAGGCCUUCGGGUUGUAAAGUACUUUCAGUCGUGAGGAAGGUGUUAAGGUUAAUAACCUUAGCAAUUGACGUUAGCGACAGAAGAAGCACCGGCUAACUCCGUGCCAGCAGCCGCGGUAAUACGGAGGGUGCGAGCGUUAAUCGGAAUUACUGGGCGUAAAGGGCACGCAGGCGGUUAAUUAAGUUGGAUGUGAAAUCCCCGGGCUUAACCUGGGAAUGGCAUUCAAGACUGGUUAGCUAGAGUCUUGUAGAGGGGGCAGAAUUCCAUGUGUAGCGGUGAAAUGCGUAGAGAUGUGGAGGAAUACCGGUGGCGAAGGCGGCCCCUGGACAAAGACUGACGCUCAUGUGCGAAAGCGUGGGGAGCGAAACAGGAUUAGAUACC